UGGGGAAUUUUGGGCAAUGGGCGAAAGCCUGACCCAGCAACGCCGCGUGAGGGAGGAAAUCCUUCGGGAUGUAAACCUCGCAAGCAAGGGAAGACAGCUAGAGAUUUAAUAAAUCUCUAGUCCGACGGUACCUUGCGUAAGCCACGGCUAACUACGUGCCAGCAGCCGCGGUAAUACGUAGGUGGCAAGCGUUGUUCGGAAUUAUUGGGCGUAAAGCGCACGUAGGCGGAUUUGUAAGUCAGGGGUGAAAUCCCGGGGCUCAACCUCGGAACUGCCUUUGAUACUGCGGAUCUCGAGUCCGAUAGAGGUGAGUGGAAUUCCUAGUGUAGAGGUGAAAUUCGUAGAUAUUAGGAAGAACACCGGUGGCGAAGGCGGCUCACUGGAUCGGUACUGACGCUGAGGUGCGAAAGCGUGGGAGCAAACAGGAUUAGAUACCCACGUAGUCCCUGAGCGGGCUGGCAAGGCGCAU
rnacentral:rRNA from 1 species